UACGAAGGGGGCUAGCGUUGCUCGGAAUCACUGGGCGUAAAGCGCACGUAGGCGGCUUUCUAAGUCAGGGGUGAAAUCCUGGAGCUCAACUCCAGAACUGCCUUUGAUACUGGAGAGCUUGAGUCCGGGAGAGGUGAGUGGAACUCCGAGUGUAGAGGUGAAAUUCGUAGAUAUUCGGAAGAACACCAGUGGCGAAGGCGGCUCACUGGACUGGUAUUGACGCUGAGGCGCGAAAGCGUGGGGAGCAAACAGG
rnacentral:rRNA from 1 species